rnacentral:rRNA from 1 species
AGCGGCGGACGGGUGAGUAACGCGUGGGAAUGUGCCCUUUGGUACGGAACAACUGAGGGAAACUUCAGCUAAUACCGUAUGUGCCCUUCGGGGGAAAGAUUUAUCGCCAUUGGAGCAGCCCGCGUUGGAUUAGGUAGUUGGCGAGGUAAAGGCUCACCAAGCCUACGAUCCAUAGCUGGUCUGAGAGGAUGAUCAGCCACACUGGGACUGAGACACGGCCCAG